rnacentral:rRNA from 1 species
UUAUCGGAGAGUUUGAUCCUGGCUCAGGACGAACGCUGGCGGCAUGCCUAAUACAUGCAAGUCGAACGGAUCUCUUCGGAGAUUAGUGGCGGACGGGUGAGUAACGCGUGGGCAACCUGCCCCAAAGACCGGGAUAACACCUCGAAAGGGGUGCUAAUACCGGGUGUGAUCUAGAGACCGCAUGGUUUUUAGAAGAAAGGCUUCGGCCACUUUGGGAUGGGCCCGCGUCUGAUUAGCUAGUUGGUGGGGUAAUGGCCUACCAAGGCGACGAUCAGUAGCCGACCUGAGAGGGUGAACGGCCACACUGGGACUGAGACACGGCCCAGACUCCUACGGGAGGCAGCAGUCGGGAAUAUUGGGCAAUGGACGAAAGUCUGACCCAGCAAUGCCGCGUGAGUGAUGAAGGUCUUCGGAUCGUAAAACUCUGUCUUUGGGGACGAACAAGGUGACGGUACCCAAGGAGGAAGCCCCGGCUAACUACGUGCCAGCAGCCGCGGUAAUACGUAGGGGGCGAGCGUUGUCCGGAAUUACUGGGCGUAAAGGGCG